rnacentral:rRNA from 1 species
GGCGGCGUGCCUAAUACAUGCAAGUCGAACGGUCUUUCUAUGGAAGCUUGCUUCCACUGAGAAGAUAGUGGCGAACGGGUGAGUAACACGUGGGUAACCUGCCCAUAAGAGGGGGGAUAACAUCCGGAAACGGGUGCUAAUACCGCAUAGUUUUCUUGAUCGCAUGAUCGGGAAAGGAAAGACGGCCUUUGUGCUGUCGCUUAUGGAUGGACCCGCGGCGUAUUAGUUAGUUGGUGAGGUAACGGCUCACCAAGACGAUGAUACGUAGCCGACCUGAGAGGGUGAUCGGCCACAUUGGGACUGAGACACGGCCCAAACUCCUACGGGAGGCAGCAGUAGGGAAUCUUCCGCAAUGGACGAAAGUCUGACGGAGCAACGCCGCGUGAGUGAAAGAAGGUUUUCGGAUCGUAAAACUCUGUUGUCAGAGAAGAACAAGUUGGAGAGUAACUGCUCCAGCCUUGACGGUAUCUGACCAGAAAGCCACGGCUAACUACGUGCCAGCCGCCGC